UCUUCUGUUUAGUAGCCCAUGUGGUAAGCCAGUUUGGGCAGGAGCCCUGAGUUACAAGAAUCACGCCAGCACAAUCAUCUCAAACCGUCCCUUCUGCUUUUUCACACACACACACCCUUUGAAAUUUCAAAUUCCAGUUUGUGGACAAAGUCCUAUCUAUCUGAGAAUAUAGAUCUCCGACCACUGACCAAACUCCAUUCCAAGCAACUACCUAGUUAUGCUUCUCCCCAGGCUCUGACAUUCAGUGCUUGGAGCUGCAGGAAAGAUUUGCGAACCAGCUUUUCAUGCCUGAGCAGCUGUGCACCUUUGAAGAGUGGAUCUGGGGGGCCAUUUUUUGUGGCUAUGGAAGAGGAUAACCUUCUGAUCACCAGUAACCAACCAGUUGUUGAAGAGCAGCCCUGCUAGAUAAAAA